GUGUCAGCAGCCGCGGUAAUACGAAGGUGGCGAGCGUUGUUCGGAAUCACUGGGCUUAAAGCGCGUGUAGGUGGGCAAGUAAGCGUCUUGUGAAAUCCCUCGGCUUAACCGAGGCAUUGCUUGGCGAACUACUUGUCUUGAGGCAAGCAGGGGUGCAUGGAACUCUUGGUGGAGCGGUGGAAUGCGUAGAUAUCAAGAGGAACGCCAGCGGUGAAGACGGUGCACUGGGCUUGUUCUGACACUGAGAUGCGAAAGCGUGGGUAGCGAACGGGAUUAGAUACCCGGGUAGUCC
rnacentral:rRNA from 1 species